UUGAUUGAUUUGUAUUCAAUACUCGACGCAAAGAUGCAGAGUUGAUUGGUCCUCUGGGGGACUCCGGCCGCGAACGUCCGGGUCGCCCCCCGAGGCAACAGAUAUUAAUCGACAAAGGGUUGGAGGUCGGGCGCGAGGGCCCUCACUCGGUAAUGAUCCCUCCGCAGGUUCACCUACGGAGA
rnacentral:misc_RNA from 1 species